GCACUCCAGCAAACCCUGCCCUUCUAUCUCAGUGCUGGGCCAGGGCAAAGAUAGUGCCAUAGCAAUGCAAAGUGUAUCCAGAUGGGCCUCCCUCUUCUGUUGGGGCUUGUCUCUACAGCUUUGACACACAG